rnacentral:rRNA from 1 species
UAUCACUAAGCGGAGGAAAAGAAACUAACCAGGAUUCCCCUAGUAACGGCGAGUGAACGGUGAUUAGCCCAGCACCGAAGCCUGCAUCUGUUUGGGUGUAAGGCAAUGUGGUGUUUAGGUGAUCAUCAUGUUGAUUCCUCUACUGUUCCAAGUCCAGUAAUGAAUAUGGCUAUAUUAAUGGCCCAGAGAGGGUGAAAGGCCCGUGGGGUCAGUAUUAAGAGGUUUUAACUUGUGAUCUACUUUGGAGUCGGGUUGUUUGUGAAUGCAGCCCAAAUCGGGUGGUAGACUCCAUCUAAGGCUAAAUACUGGCACGAGUCCGAUAGCGAACAAGUACCGUGAGGGAAAGUUGAAAAGAACUCUGAAGAGAGAGUAAACAGUACGUGAAACCGCCUAGAGGUAAACGGGUGUAGUCAAGCUGCAAGCCCUAUGGGGAUUCAAUCGAUCAGUAUGACGUGAGCAUGAGCACAUCAGUUGGCUUGUAAAGUUUGCCUAGACUGGUGAGCCUAAUUCUAUGUAGGAUUGGGUAUUUGUGUAACAUAUGGUUACUGGGUACUUUACUCGACCCAACUACUGAUCGGUGCACUUCCUCAGGGUGUAAGCCACGACCGCCGUUGCUGUCGGUCUGCUGAAAUCAACCGAUUUGAUUUAAAUUGCAAAACAAUUUGCUUCGAAUUGGGAUGGCAGGUAAUUUGAUGUUGUAUGUCUCUUGUAGGCAUUAUAAUGUUAAAUGUUAUAGCCGAUUUCAGUGGCUAUUAAAACUGUACAGUACGGUGGAGAUAUAUCGACGUGUUGGUUAAUGGUAAAGGCGCUAUAGUCUGCCGGCAUGUAAUAAAUUUGAUUAUUUGUUGUCCAAGCUCUGCCUUCGACCUGAUAAUGGUUUAUUCAUGGUGUUGUGGACGGCUGCUUUUAUCAACCAUUCUAUUGAUCUAUUGUACAGAUUCUAAGUUUGCAUUUAGUUGAUAGAAAUUAUCGUCUAUAGUCUGUGGCGUAGUGGUAGACGAUCCACCCGACCCGUCUUGAAACACGGACCAAGGAGUUUAACAUGUACGCGAGUCAAUGGGUGUGAAUUACACGAUACACGAAACCCAGAGGCGUAGUGAAAGUAAAGGUUUUGAUUAUUACAAAUGUGUUAUAUUUAAUUAGUGUAUGAAUGUAACAGUUUAUAUGUGAUCGAAUAUAUGCAUUAUUUGAUGAUAGUCAUACUGAGGUGAGAUCCUAUUGGUACCCAGGCUGAUCUGAUCAUGCAUUAGACCGAUAGGCGCAUCACCGGCCCGUCUCAUGGUGUGCUUCACCGGGGCGGAGCAAGAGCGUACAUGUUGAGACCCGAAAGAUGGUGAACUAUGCUUGCGCAGGUUGAAGCCGGAGGAAACUCUGGUGGAGGACCGUAGCGAUUCUGACGUGCAAAUCGAUCGUAUGACGUGAGUAUAGGGGCGAAAGACUAAUCGAACCAUCUAGUAGCUGGUUCCCU